UACGAAGGGGGCUAGCGUUGCUCGGAAUCACUGGGCGUAAAGCGCACGUAGGCGGCUUUCUAAGUCAGGGGUGAAAUCCUGGAGCUCAACUCCAGAACUGCCUUUGAUACUGGAGAGCUUGAGUCCGGGAGAGGUGAGUGGAACUCCGAGUGUAGAGGUGAAAUUCGUAGAUAUUCGGAAGAACACCAGUGGCGAAGGCGGCUCACUGGCCCGGUACUGACGCUGAUGUGCGAAAGCGUGGGGAGCGAACGGG
rnacentral:rRNA from 1 species